rnacentral:rRNA from 1 species
UGGCGGACGGGUGGCGGACGGGUGAGUAACCUGCCUUUCAGAGGGGGAUAACAUCCUGAAAAGGAUGCUAAUACCGCAUGACAUAUCGAGGCCGCAUGGCAUUGGUAUCAAAGGAGCAAUCCGCUGAGAGAUGGACUCGCGUCCGAUUAGCCAGUUGGCGGGGUAACGGCCCACCAAAGCGACGAUCGGUAGCCGGACUGAGAGGUUGAACGGCCACAUUGGGACUGAGACACGGCCCAGACUCCUACGGGAGGCAGCAGUGGGGGAUAUUGCACAAUGGAGGAAACUCUGAUGCAGCAACGCCGCGUGAGGGAAGAAGGUCUUCGGAUUGUAAACCUUUGUCCUUGGUGACGAAACAAAUGACGGUAGCCAAGGAGGAAGCUCCGGCUAACUACGUGCCAGCAGCCGCGGUAAU